GAUGAACGCUGGCGGCGUGCCUAAUACAUGCAAGUCGAGCGAACAGACGAGGAGCUUGCUCCUCUGACGUUAGCGGCGGACGGGUGAGUAACACGUGGAUAACCUACCUAUAAGACUGGGAUAACUUCGGGAAACCGGAGCUAAUACCGGAUAAUAUAUUGAACCGCAUGGUUCACUAGUUAAAGACGGUUUUGCUGUCACUUAUAGAUGGAUCCGCGCCGCAUUAGCUAGUUGGUAAGGUAACGGCUUACCAAGGCAACGAUGCGUAGCCGACCUGAGAGGGUGAUCGGCCACACUGGAACUGAGACACGGUCCAGACUCCUACGGGAGGCAGCAGUAGGGAAUCUUCCGCAAUGGGCGAAAGCCUGACGGAGCAACGCCGCGUGAGUGAUGAAGGUCUUCGGAUCGUAAAACUCUGUUAUUAGGGAAGAACAAAUGUGUAAGUAACUAUGCACGUCUUGACGGUACCUAAUCAGAAAGCCACGGCUAACUACGUG
rnacentral:rRNA from 1 species